rnacentral:rRNA from 2 species
UUUAUCGGAGAGUUUGAUCCUGGCUCAGGACGAACGCUGGCGGCGUGCCUAAUACAUGCAAGUCGAGCGGACAGAUGGGAGCUUGCUCCCUGAUGUUAGCGGCGGACGGGUGAGUAACACGUGGGUAACCUGCCUGUAAGACUGGGAUAACUCCGGGAAACCGGGGCUAAUACCGGAUGGUUGUUUGAACCGCAUGGUUCAAACAUAAAAGGUG